AGAGUUGAUCCUGGCUCAGGACGAACGCUGGCGGCGUGCUUAACACAUGCAAGUCGAACGAGGAUUAUGUUGGAAGGGCUUCGGCCUGGAAGGCGAAUUCGAGUGGCGGACGGGUGAGUAACGCGUGAACAAUCUGUCCCGGACAGGGGAAUAACACUUGGAAACAGGUGCUAAUACCGCAUAAGACCACGCCCUCGCAUGGGGGAGGGGUAAAAAGGAGGAAUCCGGUUCGGGGUGAGUUCGCGUCCGAUUAGAUAGUUGGUGAGGUAACGGCCCACCAAGUCGACGAUCGGUAGCCGACCUGAGAGGGUGAUCGGCCACAUUGGAACUGAGAGACGGUCCAAACUCCUACGGGAGGCAGCAGUGGGGAAUAUUGGGCAAUGGGCGAAAGCCUGACCCAGCAACGCCGCGUGAGUGAAGAAGGCUUUCGGGUUGUAAAGCUCUGUUAUAGGGGACGAAGGAAGUGACGGUACCCUAUAAGGAAGCCCCGGCUAACUACGUGCCAGCAGCUGC
rnacentral:rRNA from 1 species